GGGCGCUUAGCUCAGCUGGUUUAGAGCAUCUGCCUUACAAGCAGAGGGUCGGCGGUUCGAAUCCGUCAGCGCCCACCA
rnacentral:tRNA from 7 species